UCCUACGGGGGGCAGCAGUGGGGAAUAUUGCACAAUGGGGGAAACCCUGAUGCAGCGACGCUGCGGGAGUGAAGAAGUAUUUCGGUAUGUAAAGCUCUAUCAGCAGGGAAGAAGAAGGACGGUACCUGAGUAAGAAGCCCCGGCUAACUACGUGCCAGCAGCCGCGGUAAUACGUAGGGGGCAAGCGUUAUCCGGAUUUACUGGGUGUAAAGGGAGCGUAGACGGCGAAGAAAGUCAGAUGUGAAAACUAUGGGCUCAACUCAUAGCCUGCAUUUGAAACUGUAAUUCUU
rnacentral:rRNA from 1 species